rnacentral:rRNA from 1 species
UACGGAGGGUGCAAGCGUUAUCCGGAUUCACUGGGUUUAAAGGGUGCGUAGGUGGGUUGGUAAGUCAGUGGUGAAAUCUCCAGGCUUAACUUGGAAACUGCCAUUGAUACUAUCAAUCUUGAAUACCGUGGAGGUCAGCGGAAUAUGUCAUGUAGCGGUGAAAUGCUUAGAGAUGACAUAGAAUACCUAUUGCGAAGGCAGCUUACUACGCAGAUAUUGACGCUCAUGCACGAAAGCGUGGGGAUCAAACAGG